ensembl:lncRNA
CCGCCGCCCUCUCCGCCGCUAAUUGGGCCCCUGAAACUGCCGCCGGCUCGGUAAUUGUGCCGUUGUGUCUGAAUUUGCACUUCACUGCUUCACCCCCCCGCGAUUGGAAUUCAUACGGGGGGCUCGGGGGGGGGGUCCGCAGCGUCCCGCUCCAUCUCCGCGUGAGGGGACUGUGGUUUUGAUGCAAAUAGCUUUUAGUUUGCUUCCUGUCUCCGUCUUUUCCCUCUCACCAAUAAUUGAUGGGGAGUUUAGGGAGAGCGCGAGCAGCGUGGUGAAAUAAGAAAAGGGUGAAGUGAUAUUACCAUAAGUGAGCCGGGUACUUCUUCAGUCUCUAACUGUCAAACUGCAAGAAAACAGUGGAAAGACAACAAAGACAAGCAAAGUUUGUUCCUGAGUAAUUAGCGAGGUAAAAUUAGCCCGUCGGUGGAGUCUUGCCGCUUUGAAGCGGCGCCAUUUCCUUUUCACAUCUAAAUCGCGUGUCAAAUUUUCAUCGCUGCCGUUCGGCGACGGCGCUUUUGUUUCACUCAAGGCGGAUCUGGUCGCUCGUGUGCCAAAGCGAACCUUUUGACUGGUUAAUGGCGAAUGAGAUGCAUCAACGCGGCGCUAAUUAUCGAUGACAGACAUAUUCUGCUGUCUCUCUCUCUCCGAUAACGCCACCACCCACUGUGUGUGCACACGGGCAGCCGGAGCCGCAUUCCAACACUUCUGCUCACACGAUUUUAGCCGAGCGCCGGCGUUGCCUCUGGAUUUUGGCCUCUUCACUUGUUGGCAAAUAAAGCAGCGCAUUGUUAACGUUUCCUUCCUCUGUCACUUGUUUUUCCUUUUCUUUCUUUCACGGCGCGUGAUUCACACGCCUCCAUUGCAACAUUUGUGCCUCCAUGUUUCCAUCUAAUUACUUCGGGCACGAAACCGAAUUGGCUUCACUCAUGGAACAUUGUGUGGUUGUUGCUUUUUUAAAAAAAGGUACUAAGCCAAGAUCAUGAAUCCGCUGACCUGAAACCUCCACUGAGAGGUACGACUCACCGCACUACACUUCCCUUUGACCUUUUCAAUACAAUACUUUAAAUCCCUUUAAUAUUGCUAAGCCAAUAUUUUUGCAGCCUGUAUUAGUAUUAGUUCACUUUUAUAAGUGAAUAAAACUGUUUGAGCAUUUCCAAUUGAGUUACUGUCAAAAGCAUUUGGUUUGGUAUCAACAUCCCAACUUCCUGUCAAUGGGUAAGAAACAACCCACAUAUCAAAUAAAGUCUGAUCCCCCCCCAAAAAAAAUCUUUUAAUGAGACCAAAUCCUUUUAACUCAUAGCCUAACUGCCAGUGUUAUGAAUACAAUCGUGUGUGUGUGUGUGUGUGUGUGUGUGUGUGUGUGUGUAGGGGGCUCACAGCAGUACAACAGGAAGAGCAGCAGUUUCCUCAGGAGGACGAAUCACAUCAAAGACAUCAAAAAACAUGCAGAGUCGACAUCAGACCGAGUGAGGAUCACCUCACAAGAACCAACCACACGCUCACGUCCUCAGAUUCUAUUAAAGCUGAACUGCAAUUGAACUGUAAAUUAAGAAAUCUUUGUGUCUGAUAUAUUGCACCUGACAGACUUUUUACUUUUACUGCUCCAAGCAAUGGCUCAAAUCUCCAACGCCCACUCUAAUUUAAACGAGUUUUAAAUUCACAUUUUAUAUCCCAGGUUUCCAGGAUGGGAAUCUUCAUUAAUAACAGGCUAUUUAAUUUCCCAUCAAAGGUACGAGUCCCGUAGAGCUAAAACAAUUUAUCGUGAGAGGGGAUGUCCAAAAUGAUCCCAAAAGGCAUCCGUUAACCUUAACGCGUGAAGCCUCCAUCGUGCCGGGGGAAGCCGAUCAUAAUCAAUCCGCUGGGCUUUAAAAGUCACACCGGCGCCGGCCCGCAGUCCACGCAGCGUCACAUGGUUCCGCAGCAGGAAGUAUCCUGCUGCUGGAAACAAAUGAAGAGACAGUGAUUCUUGCUUGCUUGCUUUUACCGUGUAAAAGUACCGUGUUUUGCUCAUCAGGCAGAACAACAAACCUGAGGCAACAACUACACGCUAUAAAAUAAAUUACCUCCAUAUAAGUUUUUAGGGCUUCCGGUCAAGGGGAAAUGCGCGCCUUUCAAAUCUGCCUUUGGCCUGAAUAUCUCCAGUGCACAGAGAGCAUCUCUCACUCCAGCUCCUCUCGGCUGGAUACAAGACGGAGGUCGAGGGCGGACGCGCCGCGUGACUGAAAGCUGCAGAAUGCCAGUUUUGGUCUUUGUGCGCGGGCGGAUGGAGGUGAGGACUGACCUUGUUUUCACCUGUUUUUAAUGACCAGGCGUUCAUCCAGGAGGGCCGGCUGUGUGUUUGCUGCUUCCUCUGAUGUCAGGAAGGACAUUCGCUGAAUGGGGCAGGGUUAGGAUUAGGUAAGAAGCGUUAGGGGUUAGGGUUGGGGGUUAUGUAAGAAGCGUUACGUUUAUGUAAGAAGCGUUAGGGUUAGGGGUUAUGGUUAGGUAAGAAGCGUUAGAGUUAGGGUUAGGGGUUAGGGUUAGGGUUAGUGUUGUAAUUAUUCUAACCGCAAUCUGUUUUAGUCAAAAUAACCUGGCACCUGUAUAAAUGUAUUGCCGAGCUUUGCUAACAAAGACAUUGCUUAAACAAGGACAUUUGAGAAAGGAGGGUAACCGGCCGACAAUUAGAGGUUAUUUUCAAGACCGUUGCCUUUGACAUCCUUCUGUAAACGUUGUCAAAAUCCAGAAUAGACCGAAACCUACAGCUCAGAAUCACACCUGUCUUCACCACUUAACCUUUUGAUGAAUAACUCCAACACAAAAAACCCGCCUGACAAGCGUUACUGCGUUGCCAUUCUAUCCAGUGAGAAAAGGCUAAAUCACAACUAAUCCCGUGUUCUUAAGAGCCUCACGACACCUCAAUUAUCCAUUACCCAUCAGCCCGUGUUUACACCGUCUCCCGCUGCACACGCACACCGCACGCUGACACCUGACGGUCAUCUGUGACUCACAAGGACAAAGGAGGAAGAUGAGUGUCCCGUGGAGAGGCGGGUGGGAGGGUUGAACUAAUGAGCGAGGCCAUUGUGGAGGAUAACAAAGCCGUCACGCUCGGCGAGAUCACAGCGAACUGCUCGUCCGCGCGCUCUCACGAAGGCCAUCCGCUGCUCGUCACACGCCCCCCGAGUGCUGACAGGUUCGGGGGCCCCUCGGCGUGUCGGCUCCCCUCCUCGGAGCGCAAAAACACCAAGGCUGCAAUUAAAGGAGGCAUUCAAAAAAAUGGCCGCACUCCGUCUGGACACAAUUAGAAAAAAAAAAAAAAAGAGCUUCUCUUCCUUUGUAAUUUUUCUUUUUGAAAGCAGAUGAUGCCGUGCUGCCAUGCUUUCAUGAACAAACCACACACACACAUGAUCAAACACAUUUUUGCUCAACGGGCUAACACACACACACACACACACACACACACACAUGCUGUUGUUGUUUUAACAGCAUCACAGGAACAACCGACGACAGUAAGAACGGGCGGUGAAAACACUUCAAGAAAAACGAGAGAUACCUGAAACAUGUGCAUGCAGCAUCUUCCACCUUCUUUCUGAUCAUCAAAAAAUACAAUCAGAAACAUUUUUUAAGUUUACCGUUUGUGUGAUUGUCAUAUAUGUGAGACACAAUGCGUGAAAAUGUGAAUUAUCCAUUUCAACCCUUUUUGACAUACCUGCAACAUCAAUGUGAACUGUUUCUUCUCCUCCAGGAGCGGCCUCCUUGUUAGUCAGGUCCAGAAUGAGGAAGAAGAAGCAAUGUGAGAUUAGUGCAUCAUCAGUAUUUCUGUAUAUCUUAGACAAUCAUUACCAUCGACAUCGGGAGAUACAUUUAGGGUAUAAGUGCGACGCUGUUUACUUCAAAAGGCAAAGACCCCAUAACAGUGUCGGCGAGCUUAUUAAUGCGACAUUGACGUCACGCGGAGGGAUAAAAUUAGCCAUUUUCCAGCUUAUAAAACCAACAUCCAAGUCGUAAACCCUGACCAGCUGAUGUGUUUUUCCAAAAAGUUGUGACAUACACAACUUGGGUUCCAGUAUAUUGGAAAUUUUGUGUAGGAAACAAACGUGUAUUGCUUGUGUCGGGCCAAAAGAACCAUUUCUAGAUCAAUUUAAAUAGCUCAUUUCUGGAAAACGUUUCGGUUCUGUUUCUGGUCCUCUUUGCCUCCAGUGCACAUCUCACGCGCACGCCGCUGCUCUGCGGCCGUGACACUGACGUCCGGGUGCUAUAAUUAGCAUUUCUUUUGGGGUGAACGGCAUUGCACUUGGCUUUGACGCAGCUGCAGGAGACGGCGGUGACAUUAAACGGGGACGCGAUGAGUUGAAAGCAAUUAAGUCCGAGGUCAAAGGUUAAGAUCAGAGGGCGUGUCGCUUAAAAUGCCACUUCGAAAGCACCUCUUUGCAAAGGCUGCAAGGACACGUUAGAAGGAUUGUUAAAGUCGCACUGACACAUCAGAGAAAAACAGCAUUAAAAGUCAGAUCAAUUUACAGUAAGUUGUUACAGUUGUAGUAGAUUUUCUCCUCUAGCUGAAGUCUGUAUUUAUUGAGUCCAGCAUGUCACUACAUUUCACCCCAGAGAAAUCUAAUAACCUGUAUAUAUAUAUAUAUAUAUAUAUAUAUAUAUAUAU